GUGCACCCAGGAUCGACUUUGGGUAGGCCAUUAAAAUAUAUAAAAACCUCCUUCGUUAAUCUCUCUGAAUAACUUGACCACCUUGACAUUGUUUGCACACCGCCAUGAAACACAAAAAAGAGGAAGAUGACUUUGAAAUCCUAGGGCCGAAACGCAAACGUGUUGAUUUUACUUUUAACAAUCGGCAAACUUUUUAUCAAUUUUCACUGUCGACCAAGACCUGCUGAAUGUCUUCAAUUCAUACUUGUAAAGGUGAUAGGAAUUUCAACAUCGAGCUGCUGCAGUACCAACCGCACAGACGAAGUUGAGGGGGUGUCGUAGUUGAGACGUUCUGUGAAUAAAGCCAGGUGCACCUUCGCUAAACUGCGCUCAAAUGGACAGAAGACCCCACAGCUGUGGCCGUGUGCUGACCGACCCACAGGAGUGGGCAGUGGUGAAAAUGGGGAGGGUCAGGAAUGUCAUACAGCUGUCCGAAAUAAAGCAGGCCAUUGAGGAGAACUAUGACACCUUUGCCAAGGUGGCUUCCAUCAGCCUACCAGCAAUCACCUGCCUUUUGAAGAGGCACCAGAGGAUUUGUUCUUCAGCAUGAAGGAGGAAGGUGUACGAUCGCCAUCCCAAUGAGUGUGCCACCCUCCUUCCGGCCAUGGAUGAGGCAUGCGACAAUGUCAAUGCAGACCAAUGUCAAGCUUGGAGUCGCCAUCCCAAAGGUUUUUCCCGCUGUGCAUGAACAAUGAGGACAUUCACUGUGAUGUUUAUGAGAAUUUACGGCCAAAUGCUCAAGACAGGCUCGAUGCAAAUUAAUGCAGGCUUAACAUUGUUUUAUUUUCAUUGAUUUCAUUUCUUUAAUUUAAUUUCUUACAUUUGAUUACAGACAGUACACCUAUGUUGCAAUUAUAUCUGAAAAAUAAAAAAUGUAAGUGAUUACACAUUGGAUAGAUAUGAUUUAAAUGAUAGAUUUUCUGUCAAUUCUGUUGGGGAAUGUAAGUGUAUUGCCUAAUGUGAAAACUGGGUAAUCUACUGCAAUUUACAGUACUGUAACAUAUUACUUUCAGCACUUCUAUGGGUGAUUUUAAACGCGUAUCUUGCAUUGUUUGCUAUUGGAUUCGCUGGGAGUUAAAUCAACUAAAUUGAAAAGAUAUCAUUAUGUUGUGUUUUUGUUGAUUAAACCAAUGUUUUCAGUACA